CAAGCUGCUCUAGCCAUCGCCUCUGUCCAAGAUAUACAAGAUCCCCAAGAACACCUAAAUAGGGAGCUGCCUUCUUCGAAGGAGAAGCAAUCUACAACCAUACUCUCUCAAGGGCAAGAACAAGUACAGCAAGGCUCCACCCUCAAAUCUGACUUGGCUAUUUCAGGUACCAAAAUAUAUUCAGACGCUUCUUGGCAUAAGAAGAAUGUGCCUGGGUAUGGUGGUAAUCCGGCUACUGGCUUCAACUUCAGCAAGGCUCUUUUCUCACUGACAAUCUUUCAUUAGCAAAGAUGGCUGCUUCAAGAGAUAUCAAUAACACCAACAUCAGCUGGAGGUGCAGACAACCAAUUAGCGAGUUCUUUCAAAUCUCCCAUUCUCUUAAUGCUGUUUAUCACAUCUCUAGGAAUACCAAUGGAAUUGCUCACAAUUGUGCUCAUCAGGUUCUCAACUCGAGAGUAGAACCUGUCUUUAGUUGUUCACGUUCCUCUCAUGCCAAUGUACCUUGCCCUUUUCUGCAGUCCCUUCUCAAUUUU